GCACAUGAAGCCUGGACCUGAACAUGGAGAAACCUCAUUCAAGAGGCUCUGGCAGGCACAUCUCCACCUCCUGGCGUAGACCCAGCUGAGAACAGCGCCUCUCUGCAGAGUUGGAAUCUAGCCAGCCACUUGGAGAGGAAGUUGAGCCUGUUGAGAAAGUACAAUCAUACCAUCUUAGAAUUAGUUUGGGGCAGAGGUCAAGAUGUGCAAAGCUGUCAAGACCGCAGGGCUUCCAUGCAUGAUCAGCAGCAGAAACAUAGAGUCUUUACUAAGCUUGCAUUCCUUGGCUGUCUCUCUAUGUCCAAAUUGCAGUGGAGCCUGACUACCAGCCUGUCUUGGACCAGGACCUUGUUGCCUUCCUCCAUGCGUUUUUCACUUCCAUCCUGGAUCACUGCACUCACUUUUAUUAGAACAAAGACAUGUCUGUGUCUACAUUCCUGAAGUCAAUGUUGGUCCUGAUAGACAUAUCACAAAAGCAGACUCUAUCCUAGAUGUAGAAUUGGUCUGUGUAAUUUGGAAGGAAGCAUAGCACUCACAGAAAUACUUGCUGCUGAAGGGAAGGUCUGAUGAGACAUGAUGUUCAGCCCAAUUUGCAGUCAGAGUGGCUUACCAAAAGGUGAUCCUAUCAACCCAUUUGAAGUCCAGAAGAGCAGCUGGAGAGAUUCCUGAAGAAGUUGUCAUGACAGUGUGGUAUGGCUGUGGAAAACAAGGGCCGUAGCCCAAAGCUCACUGUUUUCACUAUCACUGCAACCGUACAGGGUGACAUAGAAGUGGAUGAAACAGUGCCUAGUCUUGCCUUCAGCAAGUACAGCCACAGCGGUGGUGUAUUGCUGCCCAGCUGCUUAGGCUGGGGACAAGGUAUGUGCUUGACAAUGUGCUUGGUUCAGUGCUA
rnacentral:lncRNA from 1 species